CGCAUCAUCUCCUUAAAUUGGAAGCUAACUCAUUCAAGUUUUAGUUGUUUCAAUCAUGGCCUUAGUGUUGGGCUUCUUCCUUUUGGUGUAUCUUAUUGACUAGUUUCAUUUGGGCUUUUUGGGGCAUCUUAUUGUGGGCAACACAAAAUAACUAUGUUAAAUGAAAGAUUAAAAUAAAAUUUAUUUGAACGCUAGGAAAUUUGACCGGAGCUUUUAUGGGAAUAUAUAUAUAUUACAAAAU